UUCGCAAUGCCCGAAAGGGUGACGAUGCGACGCCGCGUGAGCGAAGAAGGCCCUAGGGUUGUAAAGCUCUGUCGAGGGUUAUGAAAUAUAGAUGGGUUAAUACCCCAUUUAUUUGACAAAAGCCUAAAAGGAAGCCACGGCUAACUCUGUGCCAGCAGCCGCGGUAAUACAGAGGUGGCGAGCGUUGUUCGGUAUUAUUGGGCGUAAAGAGCACGUAGGUGGUUUUGUAAGUCAGGUGUGAAAGCCUUCUGUUCAAAGGAAGAACGGCAUCUGAAACUGCAGAUCUUGAGUGUAGGAGGGGAGAGUGAACUUCUGGUGGAGCGGUGAAAUGCGUAGAUAUCAGAAGGAACGUCGGCGGCGAAAGCGACUCUCUGGCCUAUUACUGACACUGAGGUGCGAAAGCUAGGGGAGCAAACGGGAUUAGAUACCCCGGUAGUCCUAACCGUAAACGAUGGGCACUAAGUAGAGGGGUUUU
rnacentral:rRNA from 1 species